rnacentral:lncRNA from 1 species
UACAUGAUCUGAUAUUCACGCAGUACACAAGUUGGGAUGUGAAUGAAUUUGUCAUUUGUGUAUGCAUGUGUACGUAUAUACGUUUUGUGAAGAAAAAAAAAGUAUAUACGUUUUGCGUUGUUGCAUGUCUUUCAAGUUGCUUUUUGUAAAUCUUGAUUUUAUUUUUCUUUCAUAUCACAAAAUGAUAUAUCUAUUGGUGGAACUACACGAUUU